GUGGCAGAAGCUCAGUGGCAGAGCUCUUGCCUAGCAUGCAUGAGGCACUGGAUUGGAUCCUCAGCACCACA
rnacentral:tRNA from 1 species